rnacentral:rRNA from 1 species
GAUCAUGGCUCAGAUUGAACGCUGGCGGCAGGCCUAACACAUGCAAGUCGAGCGGUAGAGAGAAGCUUGCUUCUCUUGAGAGCGGCGGACGGGUGAGUAAUGCCUAGGAAUCUGCCUGGUAGUGGGGGAUAACGCUCGGAAACGGACGCUAAUACCGCAUACGUCCUACGGGAGAAAGCAGGGGACCUUCGGGUCUUGCGCUAUCAGAUGAGCCUAGGUCGGAUUAGCUAGUUGG